AUGAACGCUGGCGGCGUGCCUAAUACAUGCAAGUCGCGCGAACGGACGAGAAGCUUGCUUCUCUGAUGUUAGCGGCGGACGGGUGAGUAACACGUGGAUAACCUACCUAUAAGACUGGGAUAACUUCGGGAAACCGGAGCUAAUACCGGAUAAUAUUUUGAACCGCAUGGUUCAAAAGUGAAAGACGGUCUUGCUGUCACUUUAGAUGGAUCCGCGCUGCAUUAGCUAGUUGGUAAGGUAACGGCUUACCAAGGCAACGAUGCAUAGCCGACCUGAGAGGGUGAUCGGCCACACUGGAACUGAGACACGGUCCAGACUCCUACGGGAGGCAGCAGUAGGGAAUCUUCCGCAAUGGGCGAAAGCCUGACGGAGCAACGCCGCGUGAGUGAUGAAGGUCUUCGGAUCGUAAAACUCUGUUAUUAGGGAAGAACAUAUGUGUAAGUAACUGUGCACAUCUUGACGGUACCUAAUCAGAAAGCCACGGCUAACUACGUG
rnacentral:rRNA from 1 species